CUGGGUUACGGCGACAUGUACCCCAUGACCUGGUCGGGGAUGUUGGUGGGGGCUCUCUGCGCUUUGGCGGGGGUCCUCACCAUCGCCAUGCCCGUCCCCGUCAUCGUCAACAAU
rfam:Aptenodytes forsteri contig4452, whole genome shotgun sequence.